rnacentral:snRNA from 1 species
AGCUUUGUGCAGUGACAGUAUCAUUGUCAAUGAGGGCUAUCUAAGGCAUGAUUAUUUCUAACUGAAAAAUGAUGUGCUGUAAUAUUUUUUAAUUGAAAUUGCAGCUUUUAGUGGCAAAGAGGUAUCU